rnacentral:tRNA from 5 species
GGGCGCGUAGUUCAGUGGUAGAACGCCUGCUUCACACGCAGGAAGUCAGAGGUUCGAUACCUCUCGCGCCCACCA